GGCUCUGUAGUGAAGUUCAUGGUGAGUUGCAAGCUCAUCGAUGUGUAUUAAUUAUGCACCGGGGCCU
rnacentral:tRNA from 1 species